UACGUAGGGGGCUAGCGUUGUCCGGAUUUAUUGGGCGUAAAGAGCGUGUAGGCGGCCAGGUAGGUCUGCUGUGAAAACUCGAGGCUCAACCUCGAGACGUCGGCGGAAACCAUCUGGCUAGAGUCCGGAAGAGGAGAGUGGAAUUCCUGGAUGUAGCGGUGAAUGCGCAGAUAUCAGGAAGAACACCCGUGGCGAAGGCGGCUCUCUGGGACGGUACUGACGCUGAGACGCGAAAGCGUGGGGAGCGAACAGG
rnacentral:rRNA from 1 species